rnacentral:rRNA from 1 species
UACGUAGGAUGCGAGCGUUAUUCGGAUUUAUUGGGCGUAAAGCGUGCGUAGGCGGCUAUUUAAGUCUGGUGUUAAAGCUAGGGGCUCAACCCCUGUGUUGCACUGGAUACUGGGUAGCUUGAGUGCGGUAGGGGAAGGUGGAAUUCCGAGUGUAGCGGUGAAAUGCGUAGAUAUUCGGAAGAACACCGGUGGCGAAGGCGACCUUCUGGGCCGCAACUGACGCUGAGGCACGAAAGCCUGGGGAGCGAACGGG